rnacentral:misc_RNA from 1 species
GUCAGAAAAGUUGCAAACUACUUGUCGUUUUAUGGAACUGUGCACCAUUUUAAGUCUGUAAUCAGAGUACUAAGUUAUUGGCAUUUUAGAAAUUCAGCAACAGUGCAACACAUAAGAAUAAUUCCCAGUAUUUGGUGGUUUUAUUGUUUUUGAUUUCACGAAAUCUUGUAUUCUAACUUGCAGCUUUUUCUCUUUACCUGAUUUCUGCCUCUGAAAUUUUUUAUGCGUAACAGCCUGUGGAUCCGAUGGAACACCAAUUGAAGUGUGGAAGUGUU